rnacentral:rRNA from 1 species
AUGCCUGGAAAUUUCUGCAUGAAACCAACAAAUUUCUUUGAAAAUUCCUGUGAAGUAGUUGGUUUCCCAUUGCCUCUUGGUUCAGAAAAGCUUCAUUCCUACUUUGAUUCUCUAUGUUCCCAUCCAAAACAACAUGGCUCUGAGGCUGAAGGUAAAUGUUUCCUAUCCUUUUUGUCUGCCACCAUUACAAGAAAACACAAACCACUCGGAAGAAACCAGGAAAGAGUUAUUCCCAUUGCGUCUUGUUUCACUAUGUCAAUUUCCCCUUCAUCCUCUUACAAUCUAAUCACACAAAGCCACACACUCUUCAGCCAUCUUAUAACUAUCUUGGGAUGGACAUGCUUAGCAAGCCACCCUUUAUGA